rnacentral:rRNA from 1 species
GACGAACCGAGCGAACGUUGUUCGGAAUCACUGGGCUUAAAGGGUGCGUAGGCGGGCUGCCAAGUUUGGGGUGAAAUCCUCCGGCUCAACCGGGGAAGUGCCUUGAAUACUGGCGGUCUCGAGGGAGGUAGGGGCGUGCGGAACCAACGGUGGAGCGGUGAAAUGCGUUGAUAUCGUUGGGAACUCCGGUGGCGAAGGCGGCACGCUGGACCUUUUCUGACGCUGAGGCACGAAAGCCAGGGGAGCGAACGGG